rnacentral:rRNA from 1 species
AUUGAACGCUGGCGGCAGGCCUAACACAUGCAAGUCGAGCGGAAACGAAGGGAGCUUGCUCCCAGGCGUCGAGCGGCGGACGGGUGAGUAACACGUGAGAAUCUGCCCAUUAGUGGGGGACAACCCGGGGAAACUCGAGCUAAUACCGCAUAAUCCCUACGGGGGAAAGCAGGGGACCGUUUGGCAUUGCGCUGAUGGAUGCGCUCAGGUCGGAUUAGCUUGUUGGUGAGGUAAAGGCUCACCAAGGCGACGAUCCGUAGCUGGUCUGAGAGGAUGAUCAGCCACACUGGGACUGAGACACGGCCCAGACUCCUACGGGAGGCAGCAGUGGGGAAUCUUGGACAAUGGGGGCAACCCUGAUCCAGCCAUGCCGCGUGUGUGAAGAAGGCCUUCGGGUUGUAAAGCACUUUCAGCAGGGAGGAAGGCUUUGGCCGAAUAGGUUGAAGUACUUGACGUUACCUGCAGAAGAAGCACCGGCUAAUUUCGUGCCAGCAGCCGCCGUAA